rnacentral:rRNA from 1 species
UACGUAGGGGGCAAGCGUUGUCCGGAAUCAUUGGGCGUAAAGCGCGUGUAGGCGGCCCGGUAAGUCCGCUGUGAAAGUCGGGGGCUCAACCCUCGGAUGCCGGUGGAUACUGUCGGGCUUGAGUGAGGAAGAGGCGAGUGGAAUUCCUGGUGUAGCGGUGAAAUGCGCAGAUAUCAGGAGGAACACCGGUGGCGAAGGCGACUACCUGGCCUGUUCUUGACGCUGAGGCGCGAAAGCUAGGGGAGCAAACGGG